rnacentral:lncRNA from 1 species
CCAAGAUACACUAAUGGGGAACAGAUUUGCCUUCCUGCAUAAAACAACCCAAAGCCAGAAAAUAUGUAUGAAACAAUGGUUUUCAAGACCCUGGACAUCAGCCAUAGAGAAGGGAAACAAAUGAGGCGAGCCCUGUGAUUGCGUCAGCUGAUUGCCUUGAGAGUUUCCAGGCCGUGGUGCAAGGACAGAAAAGUCAGGCAGAGCUCAGACUCUCUGAGUCAAGGAAACGGAGCUGAGACCUGGAAGACCAAGGUGGCAACAGACUGCAGGACGGGGUACCGGAGGGGAGAGCGCUACACGGAGAAAGAACAGAGAUCUGCAGAGGGUCACCCUCCAUCAUUCAGCAGAGUACCGAUCAGCUGUGUGAGGAAACUGCCUGAGGCAGGGGGAAAAAACCACUCAGAAUCAUUAGAACUGCAUUUCUCAACCUUUUUAAGAUUGUCAGCCCCCUAUGGAGUCAGCUCUUUCAUCAAGGAUCGAAGUCAGCCGUCAAAGAAACUCUCACUCCAACUGUCUGAGGGAGAAAAUAGGUCCUGAGGGGUUCCGUGAGGGCGACACGCCAGUUGGAACAGUAUCCAGCACAUGGAGAUUGAUCAUAAUUGCCGCUUCCCUUCCCAGGGAGCUUGAAGGAGAAGGAAGUGUAA